rnacentral:rRNA from 1 species
GACGAACGCUGGCGGCGUGCUUAACACAUGCAAGUCGAGCGGUAAGGCCCUUUCGGGGGUACACGAGCGGCGAACGGGUGAGUAACACGUGGGUGACCUGCCCUCAGCUCUGGGAUAAGCCUGGGAAACCGGGUCUAAUACUGGAUAUGACUCCACGGUGCAUGUCGUGGGGUGGAAAGCCUUGUGCGGCUGAGGAUGGGCCCGCGGCCUAUCAGCUUGUUGGUGGGGGAUGGCCUACCAAGGCGACGACGGGUAGCCGGCCUGAGAGGGCGACCGGCCACACUGGGACUGAGACACGGCCCAGACUCCUACGGGAGGCAGCAGUGGGGAAUCUUGCGCAAUGGGCGAAAGGCUGACGCAGCGACGCCGCGUGUGGGAUGACGGCCU